rfam:Loxodonta africana unplaced genomic scaffold scaffold_17, whole genome shotgun sequence.
GCAGUGGUGGUUCCAUGGUAGAACUCUUGCCUUCCACGCAGGAGAGCUGGGAUUGAUUCCUGGCCAGUGCA